GGAGUUUGGGCCGUGUCUCAGUCCCAAUGUGGCCGAUCACCCUCUCAGGCCGGCUAUUGAUCGUAGCUUUGGUAGGCCGUUACCCCACCAACUGGCUAAUCAAACGCGGGUCCAUCCAUGAGCGAAAUUCUUUCCUCACUGUAUCAUGCGAUACCGUAAGCAUAUGGAGUAUUAGCAAGAAUUUCUCCCUGUUAUCCUCCUCUCAUGGGCAGGUUACCCACGCGUUACUCACCCGUCCGCCACUAGAAUUCUCACAUCUUCAACCGAAGUCUCCGUCGUGAGGUUCCCGUUCGACUUGCAUGUGUUAAGCACGCCGCCAGCGUUCAUC
rnacentral:rRNA from 1 species